rnacentral:rRNA from 1 species
CCUACGGGUGGCAGCAGUGAGGAAUAUUGGUCAAUGGGCGAGAGCCUGAACCAGCCAAGUCGCGUGAAGGAUGAAGGAUCUAUGGUUUGUAAACUUCUUUUAUAUGGGAAUAAAGUGAGGAACGUGUUCCUUUUUGUAUGUACCAUAUGAAUAAGCAUCGGCUAACUCCGUGCCAGCAGCCGCGGUAAUACGGAGGAUGCGAGCGUUAUCCGGAUUUAUUGGGUUUAAAGGGUGCGUAGGUGGUUAAUUAAGUCAGCGGUGAAAGUUUGUGGCUCAACCAUAAAAUUGCAAUUGAUACUGGCAGCCUUGAGUACAGUUGAGGUAGGCGGAAUUCGUGGUGUAGCGGUGAAAUGCUUAGAUAUCACGAAGAACUCCGAUUGCGAAGGCAGCCUACUAAACUGCCACUGACAUUGAUGCUCGAAAGCGUGGGGAGCAAACAGGAUUAGAUACCCUAGUAGUC